UCAGAAACAGCGACAAAACAGUGUCGAGUCCAGAUUUGUAAUGCGAUCAAAUUCGGACUUUUCUCAUAUAUUUUGGAUUUGGUUUACAUGACACCCAAUAUAAUAGAAAAUGACCAAAACUUGUUUUGUUUUGAGUUGCAAGUCCGGUUAUAAAACUGACCAAACAAAAAUUUCCCUUUUUAAAGCCCCUUCUAAUAAAAUUCAAUUUAAAAAGUGGCUAGAUGUCAGUAGGAGGAAACCUCCAAAAAUUAUGGGUGAUAUUUUCUUUUGUGCAAACCAUUUUCACGAGACAGACAUCAUAAGUUUUCAACUAAGAAAUGUAUCGAACCUAAUCAAGCUGUUCCACUGAAGGUGUGGAGACUUAAAUCUGGUGCCUUACCUAAAUUACCAAAAGCUCUUGAGAAAAUUGAUACCCACCCAGAAGUUCUUUGUAAUACCCGAAAAAGAAAGCAAAGAAAUCCAAAUGCAGCUGAAGCUGGUUUUGGUCUACAUUUAACAAUUCCAACUAUCGAAGACACAGUACCAGAAGAAAGUCAUUUCAUAGAACACAUUCUUGAUUCCAGUAUAGUGGUGAAUGCUGAAUCUCGGGCAAUAAUAGCUUUGCUUUGCUAGCAGAAGAAGGAACUAGACGUUUUUGUACAGCCGCACGAUGUAU